UACGUAGGGGGCAAGCGUUGUCCGGAAUCAUUGGGCGUAAAGAGCGUGUAGGCGGCCAGAUAAGUCCGCUGUGAAAUCUCGAGGCUCAACUUCGAGCUGUCGGUGGAAACUGUCUGGCUAGAGUCCGGAAGAGGAGAAUGGAAUUCCUGGUGUAGCGGUGAAAUGCGCAGAUAUCAUGAGGAAUACCAGAGGCGAAGGCGGCUCCCUGGACAAUUGCUGACACUCAGGCACGAAAGCGUGGGGAGCGAACAGG
rnacentral:rRNA from 1 species